rnacentral:rRNA from 1 species
GAUGAACGCUGGCGGCGUGCCUAAUACAUGCAAGUCGAGCGAACAGACGAGGAGCUUGCUCCUCUGACGUUAGCGGCGGACGGGUGAGUAACACGUGGAUAACCUACCUAUAAGACUGGGAUAACUUCGGGAUACCGGAGCUAAUACCGGAUAAUAUAUUGAACCGCAUGGUUCAAUAGUGAAAGACGGUUUUGCUGUCACUUAUAGAUGGAUCCGCGCCGCAUUAGCUAGUUGGUAAGGUAACGGCUUACCAAGGCGACGAUGCGUAGCCGACCUGAGAGGGUGAUCGGCCACACUGGAACUGAGACACGGUCCAGACUCCUACGGGAGGCAGCAGUAGGGAAUCUUCCGCAAAGGGCGAAAGCCUGACGGAGCAACGCCGCGUGAGUGAUGAAGGUCUUCGGAUCGUAAAACUCUGUUAUUAGGGAAGAACAAAUGUGUAAGUAACUAUGCACGUCUUGACGGUACCUAAUCAGAAAGCCACGGCUAACUACGUG